rnacentral:rRNA from 1 species
UACGAAGGGUACAAGCGUUGUUCGGAAUUACUGGGCGUAAAGCGCGCGUAGGCGGACGAGUAAGUCGAUUGUGAAAGCCCUGGGCUUAACCUGGGAACUGCAGUCGAAACUGCUCAUCUUGAGUGCCUGAGAGGAUGGCGGAAUUCCCGGUGUAGUAGUGAAAUACGUAGAUAUCGGGAAGAACACCUGAGGCGAAGGCGGCUAUCUGGGACGGUACUGACGCUGAGACGCGAAAGCGUGGGGAGCGAACAGG